rnacentral:rRNA from 1 species
UACAGAGGGUGCGAGCGUUAAUCGGAAUUACUGGCGUAAAGCGCGCGUAGGUGGUUUUGUAAGUCAGAUGUGAAAGCCCCGGGCUCAACCUGGGAACUGCAUUUGAGACUGCAUGACUAGAGUAUGGGAGAGGGCAGUGGAAUUUCAGGUGUAGCGGUGAAAUGCGUAGAUAUCUGAAGGAACAUCAGUGGCGAAAGCGACUGCCUGGCCCAAUACUGACGCUCAUGUGCGAAAGCGUGGGGAGCAAACAGG